UACGUAGGGAGCAAGCGUUGUCCGGAAUCAUUGGGCGUAAAGCGCGCGUAGGUGGCUUCGUAAGUCCGUUGUGAAAGUCAAUGGCUCAACCUUUGAAAGCCGAUGGAUACUGCGGAGCUAGAGUACGGAAGAGGCGAGUGGAAUUCCCGGUGUAGCGGUGAAAUGCGCAGAUAUCGGGAGGAACACCAAUGGCGAAGGCAGCUCGCUGGGACGUGACUGACGCUGAGACGCGAAAGCGUGGGGAGCAAACAGG
rnacentral:rRNA from 1 species